GGCAGGACUAACACAUGCAGUCGAGCGGAACGAGUUAUCUGAACCUUCGGGGAACGAUAACGGCGUCGAGCGGCGGACGGGUGAGUAAUGCCUAGGAAAUUGCCCUGAUGUGGGGGAUAACCAUUGGAAACGAUGGCUAAUACCGCAUAAUGCCUACGGGCCAAAGAGGGGGACCUUCGGGCCUCUCGCGUCAGGAUAUGCCUAGGUGGGAUUAGCUAGUUGGUGAGGUAAGGGCUCACCAAGGCGACGAUCCCUAGCUGGUCUGAGAGGAUGAUCAGCCACACUGGAACUGAGACACGGUCCAGACUCCUACGGGAGGCAGCAGUGGGGAAUAUUGCACAAUGGGCGCAAGCCUGAUGCAGCCAUGCCGCGUGUGUGAAGAAGGCCUUCGGGUUGUAAAGCACUUUCAGUCGUGAGGAAGGUAGUGUAGUUAAUAGCUGCAUUAUUUGACGUUAGCGACAGAAGAAGCACCGGCUAACUCCGUGCCAGCAGCCGCGGUAAUACGGAGGGUGCGAGCGUUAAUCGGAAUUACUGGGCGUAAAGCGCAUGCAGGUGGUUUGUUAAGUCAGAUGUGAAAGCCCGGGGCUCAACCUCGGAAUUGCAUUUGAAACUGGCAGACUAGAGUACUGUAGAGGGGGGUAGAAUUUCAGGUGUAGCGGUGAAAUGCGUAGAGAUCUGAAGGAAUACCGGUGGCGAAGGCGGCCCCCUGGACAGAUACUGACACUCAGAUGCGAAAGCGUGGGGAGCAAACAGGAUUAGAUACCCUGGUAGUCCACGCCGUAAACGAUGUCUACUUGGAGGUUGUGGCCUUGAGCCGUGGCUUUCGGAGCUAACGCGUUAAGUAGACCGCCUGGGGAGUACGGUCGCAAGAUUAAAACUCAAAUGAAUUGACGGGGGCCCGCACAAGCGGUGGAGCAUGUGGUUUAAUUCGAUGCAACGCGAAGAACCUUACCUACUCUU
rnacentral:rRNA from 1 species